AUUGAACGCUGGCGGCAGGCCUAACACCUGCAAGUCGAACGAGUGGCGGACGGGUGAGUAAUGUCUGGGAAACUGCCUGCUGGAGGGGGAUAACUACUGGAAACGGUAGCUAAUACCGCAUACCAUCGGAUGUUCCCAGAUGGGAUUCGCUAGUAGGUGGGGUAACGGCUCACCUAGGCGACGAUCCCUAGCUGGUCUGCGAGGAUGACCAGCCACACUGGAACUGAGACACGGUCCAGACUCCUACGGGAGGCAGCAGUGGGGAAUAGUGCACAAUGGGCGCAAGCCUGAUGCAGCCAUGCCGCGUGUAUGAAGAAGGCCUUCGGGUUGUAAAGUACUUUCAGCGGGGAGGCGUUACCCGCAGAAGAAGCACCGGCUAACUCCGUGCCAGCAGCCGCGGUAAUUC
rnacentral:rRNA from 1 species